rnacentral:tRNA from 1 species
UCCGAUAUAGUGUAACGGCUAACACGCCUCGUUUCCACGGGGAGCUCGAGGUUCGACUCCUCGUAUCGAAA